AGUGAACGCUGGCGGCGUGGAUUAGGCAUGCAAGUCGAGCGAUUCUUCUUCGGAAGAAUAGCGGCAAACGGGUGAGGAACACGUGAACAAUCUUCCCUAAAGACGGGUAAAGCAUCGAGAAAUCGGUGGUAAUACCCGAUGUGUCCUAUUGACUUCAUGGUCGAUAGGGUAAAGGCGGGGACCUUCGGGCCUGCCACUUUUGGAUGAGUUCGCGUCCUAUCAGCUUGUUGGUGAGGUAAUGGCUCACCAAGGCAUUUGACGGGUAGCUGGUCUGAGAGGAUGAUCAGCCACACUGGGACUGAGACACUGCCCAG
rnacentral:rRNA from 1 species